rnacentral:rRNA from 1 species
CCUACGGGAGGCAGCAGUCGAGAAUCAUUCACAAUGGGGGAAACCCUGAUGGUGCGACGCCGCGUGGGGGAAUGAAGGUCUUCGGAUUGUAAACCCCUGUCAUGUGGGAGCAAAUUAAAAAGAUAGUACCACAAGAGGAAGAGACGGCUAACUCUGUGCCAGCAGCCGCGGUAAUACAGAGGUCUCAAGCGUUGUUCGGAAUCACUGGGCGUAAAGCGUGCGUAGGCUGUUUCGUAAGUCGUGUGUGAAAGGCGCGGGCUCAACCCGCGGACGGCACAUGAUACUGCGAGACUAGAGUAGUGGAGGGGGAACCGGAAUUCUCGGUGUAGCAGUGAAAUGCGUAGAUAUCGAGAGGAACACUCGUGGCGAAGGCGGGUUCCUGGACAUUAACUGACGCUGAGGCACGAAGGCCAGGGGAGCGAAAGGGAUUAGAUACCCGUGUAGUC